GUUCAAAAUGAAAUACCUGUUUGCUCUACUGGUUUUGUUGCCAAUUGUGUUCUGUGCUCCACAGGAAAGAUUCGUUUUGGACACCUUCGGACUUGACAAAGUAGUUCAAGAGGUCGAACAGUUUGCCCAUUCAGGAAUGGCACAAGGUGCCUGUGAAACUGAGUGCCAAAACCUUGUUCACGGAUUUGUAGCAACUUUCUGCGGACCAGCCUGUUCAACCGUCCUAAAAUUAAUACCAGCUGC